UAUUGCACAAUGGGCGGAAGCCUGAUGCAGCGACGCCGCGUGAGUGAAGAAGUAUCUCGGUAUGUAAAGCUCUAUCAGCAGGGAAGAAAAUGACGGUACCUGACUAAGAAGCCCCGGCUAACUACGUGCCAGCAGCCGCGGUAAUACGGAGGAUCCGAGCGUUAUCCGGAUUUAUUGGGUGUAAAGGGAGCGUAGACGGUUAUGCAAGUCUGGAGUGAAAGCCCGGGGCUCAACCCCGGGACUGCUUUGGAAACUGUAAAACUGGAGUGCAGGAGAGGCAGGCGGAAUUCCUAGUGUAGCGGUGAAAUGCGUAGAUAUUAGGAGGAACACCAGUGGCGAAGGCGGCCUGCUGGACUGUAACUGACGUUGAGGCUCGAAGGCGUGGGGAGCAAACAG
rnacentral:rRNA from 1 species